UGGACAGAUUAUUGUAUUCGACUGUAUUUACGGCGUGAAAUAGGGGAUUACACUAUUUUUAAAACGAAAAGUGAAUCAAUUAACAUAAUAGACUCCU
rnacentral:pre_miRNA from 1 species